rnacentral:rRNA from 1 species
AUGAAUACACUAUGUUGAAACUGCCGUGGUUUGGGCAACCCCAUGACAGUUCGAGAAGUCCGUGUUCUUACGACUAAAUUUGCCCCGGCCGUACUAUGCUUAGUUUAAACGCAGUUAUCGAAUGUACGUGCCGAGGCUCUAGCUCAAUCCUUUGGCUAUGAUAAAUCAUUUGUUGUUGGAUGCUCUGGAAGGAGCGGUGGACUUGUAAUUUAU